rnacentral:tRNA from 1 species
UGGCAGGUAGCCUAGUGGUCAAGAGCAUUAGGCCAGUAACUGAAAAGUUUCUGGUUCAGAUUCCAGACCUGACUA